CAGACCUCAAAUCAGGA
rnacentral:rRNA from 1 species